rnacentral:rRNA from 1 species
AUUGAACGCUGGCGGCAGGCCUAACACAUGCAAGUCGAGCGGAGCGGCGGACGGGUGAGUAAUGCCUAGGAAUCGGCCAGGUAGUGGGGGAGAAGGUCCGGAAACGGGAGCUAAUACCGCAUACUAUCAGAUGAGCCUAGGUCGGUAUAGCUAUUUGGUGGGGUAAAGGCUUACCAAGGCGACGAUCCGUAACUGGUCUGAGAGGAUGAUCAGUCACACUGGAACUUAGACACGGUCCAGACUCCUACGGGAGGCAGCAUUGGGGAAUAUUGGACAAUGGGCGAAAGCCUGAUCCAGCCAUGCCGCGUGUGUGAAGAAGGUCUUCGGAUUGUAAAGCACUUUAAGUUGGGAGGCGUUACCAACAGAAUAAGCACCGGCUAACUUCGUGCCAGCAGCCGCGGUAAUAC